UACCGGAGGGAGGCGGGCGGAGGUGGGGAGAAGGGUACCCCUAGUCCUUCCACUCUCCUCAUUCGUCCAGGGACACCCAGAUCCCCUGUUCCUCCUUUCCCCCAACACGCAGGCCCCUUCUGUCCGGCGGCGGCUCCAGAGCAAGUUAGGUCGUCCUGCCUCCCCACAUCGUAGUCACACCUAAUGACGGGAACGGGAUGAGACCGAGCGGAUGGCCAGCAGGCAGUGGAACAGAAACCUUCCUCACGUCCUAGUGAGGAAAAUGAGAGCCUCCCAGCUGGACACUCCAGUUCCCAGCUCCCCUGCUGCAAGGUGUGGCCAGAGCGGAAUGUGAGCCGAGUAAUAUCAAAGCCUUAAGACGCUGGGUAAAUUCUCCUUUUUCUGAGCUGGACCAGAUGCACCUGAGCCUGAGCUUUGACUGCAAUUGAGGAGAAAUCCCUAAGAGGGGACAAAGCCACAAUCUGAUUGGAACCCAAGUUCCUGACUGACCAGGUGGAGCAGAGCUGCCUGCCGUCCAGGACUGCUCCCUUCCAGACUGUUCCGUGAGAAAUAAACUUGUUUUCUAGA